ACGCUGGCGGCAGGCCUAACACAUGCAAGUCGAGCGGUAGCACAGAGAGCUUGCUCUCGGGUGACGAGCGGCGGACGGGUGAGUAAUGUCUGGGAAACUGCCUGAUGGAGGGGGAUAACUACUGGAAACGGUAGCUAAUACCGCAUAAUGUCGCAAGACCAAAGUGGGGGACCUUCGGGCCUCAUGCCAUCAGAUGUGCCCAGAUGGGAUUAGCUAGUAGGUGGGGUAACGGCUCACCUAGGCGACGAUCCCUAGCUGGUCUGAGAGGAUGACCAGCCACACUGGAACUGAGACACGGUCCAGACUCCUACGGGAGGCAGCAGUGGGGAAUAUUGCACAAUGGGCGCAAGCCUGAUGCAGCCAUGCCGCGUGUGUGAAGAAGGCCUUCGGGUUGUAAAGCACUUUCAGCGGGGAGGAAGGCGGUGAGGUUAAUAACCUCAUCGAUUGACGUUACCCGCAGAAGAAGCACCGGCUAACUCCGUGCCAGCAGCCGCGGUAAUACGGAGGGUGCAAGCGUUAAUCGGAAUUACUGGGCGUAAAGCGCACGCAGGCGGUCUGUCAAGUCGGAUGUGAAAUCCCCGGGCUCAACCUGGGAACUGCAUUCGAAACUGGCAGGCUAGAGUCUUGUAGAGGGGGGUAGAAUUCCAGGUGUAGCGGUGAAAUGCGUAGAGAUCUGGAGGAAUACCGGUGGCGAAGGCGGCCCCCUGGACAAAGACUGACGCUCAGGUGCGAAAGCGUGGGGAGCAAACAGGAUUAGAUACCCUGGUAGUCCACGCCGUAAACGAUGUCGAUUUGGAGGUUGUGCCCUUGAGGCGUGGCUUCCGGAGCUAACGCGUUAAAUCGACCGCCUGGGGAGUACGGCCGCAAGGUUAAAACUCAAAUGAAUUGACGGGGGCCCGCACAAGCGGUGGAGCAUGUGGUUUAAUUCGAUGCAACGCGAAGAACCUUACCUGGUCUUGACAUCCACAGAACUUUCCAGAGAUGGAUUGGUGCCUUCGGGAACUGUGAGACAGGUGCUGCAUGGCUGUCGUCAGCUCGUGUUGUGAAAUGUUGGGUUAAGUCCCGCAACGAGCGCAACCCUUAUCCUUUGUUGCCAGCGGUUAGGCCGGGAACUCAAAGGAGACUGCCAGUGAUAAACUGGAGGAAGGUGGGGAUGACGUCAAGUCAUCAUGGCCCUUACGACCAGGGCUACACACGUGCUACAAUGGCAUAUACAAAGAGAAGCGACCUCGCGAGAGCAAGCGGACCUCAUAAAGUAUGUCGUAGUCCGGAUUGGAGUCUGCAACUCGACUCCAUGAAGUCGGAAUCGCUAGUAAUCGUAGAUCAGAAUGCUACGGUGAAUACGUUCCCGGGCCUUGUACACACCGCCCGUCACACCAUGGGAGUGGGUUGCAAAAGAAGUAGGUAGCUUAACCUUCGGGAGGGCGCUUACCACUUUGUGAUUCAUGACUGG
rnacentral:rRNA from 1 species